rnacentral:rRNA from 1 species
AGAACGAACGCUGGCGGCAGGCCUCAAACAUGCAAGUCUAGGGGGCGUAGCAAUACGUCACCGGCGGACGGGUGCGUAACACGUGGGAAUGUACUUACUGGUUCGGAACAACUCAGGGAAACUUGAGCUAAUACCGAAUGUGCCCGAAAGGGGAAAGAUUUAUCGCCAGUAAAUCAGCCCGCGUUCGAUUAGCUAGUUGGCGGGGUAAAGGCCCACCAAGGCGACGAUCGGUAGCUGUUCUGAGAGGAAGAUCAGCCACACUGGGACUGAGACACGGCCCCAGACUCCUACGGGAGGCAGCAGUUGGGAAUCUUGGACAAUGGGGAAACCCUGAUCCAGCCAUGCCGCGUGAGUGAUGAAGGCCUUCGGGUUGUAAAACUCUUUCGACGGGGACGAUAAUGACGGUACCCGUAGAAGAAGCUCCGGCUAACUUCGUGCCAGCAGCCGC